rnacentral:misc_RNA from 1 species
AACCAUAGAAACCUGCGGAGUACCUGCGGAGGAUCAUUAUAGUAUAUGGAAUCUCCAUUCUAUAAACCCACUCUGCGUAUCUUGUAACUGUUGCUUCCAUGGGACUUGGUUCCGCCACACCGGCUUCACGGCUGGUGAGCGCCCAUGGAAGGAGAAACAAAACUCUUCUUUGAAAUGUAGUCAGUCUGAACAAGUUUUUAUAAACGUUAAAACUUUCAACAACGGAUCUCAGAUCGGAAG